ACACGACUACAUUAGAUACCCCCCGUAGUCCCAGCCGUAAACGAUGCGCGUUAGGUGUAUCGGUGACCACGAGUCACCGAGGUGCCGAAGGGAAACCGUGAAACGUGCCGCCUGGGAAGUACGGUCGCAAGGCUGAAACUUAAAGGAAUUGGCGGGGAGCACCACAACGGGUGGAGCCUGCGGUUUAAUUGGACUCAACGCCGGGAAGCUCACCGGAUAAGACAGCGGAAUGAUUGCCGGGCUGAAGACUCUGCAUGACUAGCUG
rnacentral:rRNA from 1 species